GAUAUUCUUCUUCCGUCCGGAAAUACUUGUCAGGAAAAUAAAUAUAUUUAGACACAUUUUAGUUCUAGAUACACUCAUAUUUAUUCAUUUCUAUGACAAGUAAAUUUCGGACGGAGGGAGUACAGC
rfam:Triticum aestivum genome assembly, contig: Triticum_aestivum_CS42_TGACv1_scaffold_308463_4AS